ACUGGCGCACGGGUGAGUAACGCGUAGGUAAUCUAGCCCUAUCACAGACAUAACGUUGGGAAACUGGCGCUAAUAUCUGAUGAGGACUCUGGUUCAAAGUAGCAAUAUGGAUAGGGAUGAGCCUGCGUUAGAUUAGCUAGUUGGUGAGGUAAAAGCUCACCAAGGCGACGAUCUAUAGCUGGUCUGAGAGGACGAUCAGCCACACUGGAACUGAGACACGGUCCAGACUCCUACGGGAGGCAGCAGUGAGGAAUUUUGGACAAUGGAGGAAACUCUGAUCCAGCGACGCCGCGUGUUGGAUGACGGGGCUUAGCCCUGUAAACAACUGUCGGAUGGGGAAAAAAGUCUGCUAAUGUGGACUGGGCUUGUACCAUCAAAGGAAGGGUCGGCUAACUACGUGCCAGCAGCCGCGGUAAUACGUAGGACCCGAGCGUUGUCCGGAUUUACUGGGUAUAAAGGGUGCGCAGGCGGGCUUGUGCGUCAGGGGUUAAAGACCUCGGCUUAACCGAGGAGAUGCCUUUGAUACGGCAGGUCUUGAAUGUGAGAGAGGAUGAUAGAAUUCCUGGUGUAGCGGUGGAAUGCGU
rnacentral:rRNA from 1 species